rnacentral:lncRNA from 1 species
UUUUAUUCAAUUGAAAUGGACAGCUGUCUGCACCUAAAAUUGUUUAUUUUAUUUUAUUUUAUUUUAUUUUAUUAUUUGCUGGAAACAUUGCUUUUACAGAAUAUUAUCAGUAUAGUUCUUGUUGCUACAAUGACAGACAGUGUAGUGUUAGGCACAUGUAAAGGAAUAGGUUACUUAAAUAUACCAUUAAAAUGGAAAAUGUACUAUUUAAAAAUAGUUUAUCUAAUUUAUAUUUUAUGUGAUAUCCACAAUUAAGUUAUUCCGAUUGUGCUGUUUUGCUCGAGGCAGAGUUUAUGAGCAGCUCAGCUGUUGUUUGUUAUGUGUAUAUUAUUUAUAUCCUCCAUCUUGUGUCAUGUUAUCUGCUUGAUCAUGUAAACUUGCAGCGUUUGAAAAUUAUAUAAGAUAUUCCCUCUCCUGCCCCUGAAAAUCAGUAGGUACAAUUGCCCAAUGAAUGUGUCACUCGCUAUCAGUUGUUUCCCUGGUACUUUGAGCCUGGAACUGCGAUAUGCUUUUGUUGAGAAAGCUUCUUAGGAUCUGACCAGAAACUCAGGCAAUUCCUUGAAAACCUUUCCACUGGCUUUGCAGAACUCUCAGAAAAUACUAAGGAGAGUGGGAAAGACACAAACCAGGGGAGAAAGAAUAACAACAACAACAACAACAAAAAACAGCCAAAAAACCCCACAGAAAACAGUCAGGUACUAACUGCAAAGCUCGGUCUGGGAUAUCAGAAUCUGGUACACGUUAAGAAGCCUUCUCAGAAACCUGUACUUAUGGAUGUGAAGGGAUCUCACUGUUGGAAAUGAAAGAGUAGUAAGAGAAAUCAAAUGGCUUGAGGCAGUCAGGAAAGCCACGGCAGCCCAAGACAUAACACUGCAUUGAUGAUCGCCCACUAGACAUCUGAUGAGCAUUGCUUGUUUAGUUCUGAUCAGGGAAAACGUUGGAAUGAUAUUUGGCUGCACAUUUUCACUUCUGUGUAAAUAUAGUGAAGUGUCAGAAAAAAAAAAAAA